CGGACGGGUGAGUAAUGUCUGGGAAACUGCCUGAUGGAGGGGGAUAACUACUGGAAACGGUAGCUAAUACCGCAUAACGUCGCAAGACCAAAGAGGGGGACCUUCGGGCCUCUUACCAUCGGAUGUGCCCAGAUGGGAUUAGCUAGUAGGUGGGGUAACGGCUCACCUAGGCGACGAUCCCUAGCUGGUCUGAGAGGAUGACCAGCCACACUGGAACUGAGACACGGUCCAG
rnacentral:rRNA from 1 species